rnacentral:rRNA from 1 species
ACAUGCAAGUCGAGCGGGGGAUGUUGCUUCGGUAACUGACCUAGCGGCGGACGGGUGAGUAAUGCUUAGGAAUCUGCCUAUUAGUGGGGGACAACAUUCCGAAAGGAAUGCUAAUACCGCAUACGCCCCACGGGGGAAAGCAGGGGAUCUUCGGACCUUGCGCUAAUAGAUGAGCCUAAGUCAGAUUAGCUAGUUGGUGGGGUAAAGGCCUACCAAGGCGACGAUCUGUAGCGGGUCUGAGAGGAUGAUCCGCCACACUGGGACUGAGACACGGCCCAGACUCCUACGGGAGGCAGCAGUGGGGAAUAUUGGACAAUGGGCGGAAGCCUGAUCCAGCCAUGCCGCGUGUGUGAAGAAGGCCUUUUGGUUGUAAAGCACUUUAAGCGAGGAGGAGGCUACCGAGACUAAUACUCUUGGAUAGUGGACGUUACUCGCAGAAUAAGCACCGGCUAACUCUGUGCCAGCAGCCGCGGUAAUACAGAGGGUGCGAGCGUUAAUCGGAUUUACUGGGCGUAAAGCGUGCGUAGGCGGCUUUUUAAGUCGGAUGUGAAAUCCCUGAGCUUAACUUAGGAAUUGCAUUCGAUACUGGGAAACUAGAGUAUGGGAGAGGAUGGUAGAAUUCCAGGUGUAGCGGUGAAAUGCGUAGAGAUCUGGAGGAAUACCGAUGGCGAAGGCAGCCAUCUGGCCUAAUACUGACGCUGAGGUACGAAAGCAUGGGGAGCAAACAGGAUUAGAUACCCUGGUAGUCCAUGCCGUAAACGAUGUCUACUAGCCGUUGGGGCCUUUG